UGACUUUUUGACUUUAAGAAAAAAGAAAAAAAAAACAGUGUUCUCUUUUUCAGAACCACCGUGCUCAACUUUCCCAAUCCAAACUUUAAUCUACCAAAUACUGUGUUUACGGAUCGCAGCAGAUGAAAUCAAGAAAAAGGGUUAUAAUUUUUCUCAAUCCAAACUCAUCUUUCUCAAUUCAAGAUGAAAUUGAUGAAGGGAAAAUUUUAAGUGGUUAACCUCUUUGGAUUCACUUCAUUCCAGGGAUUAGGUUCCAAACAGACAAUGAACCAUUUAAGGUAUUUACCAAGUGGUGUCUUUUGCUCAUGUAUUUAGAGAGGCGUUUACCAAGUUUGUUCAUUUUGUUUUGCUGUUUUGGCUACGAGUAUAUGACAGCCUCAUUGUUGUCCUGCUGCCGUGUGUUGUUGCUGGUCCUGGUGUGUGCAGCUGUGUUCUGGCCUGCUGUGUGCGUCUGAUUUUUCAGCUGUUGGGGGGUUUUUUGGUUCUGGUUUUUCCCUCCCUGCGUGGUGUGGAUGUGUGUUUUUCUGUUGUUUUGGCUGUGCCAGUUUGGCGCACGUUUUUGUAUUUCUGUUUUGGCCGCGAGAUUUUGUGCGUCUCGCACAAUCUCGACGAGAAUAAAAUUUUGCUGUUAAAAAAAAUGUAAAGGCAUAUUGCUCUUGUACAUGCUAAACAAGUUGUUAAUGCAAAGGCACUCAUGUGAGUGGCCGUAUCAAAUUAUAAUGGUA